UUUAAAACCUGUACUUUGCCAUAUAAAGAUCUCCUGGAGAGCUAAGCCAGUCAAGUGAUUUCUGUUUUGUUUUGUUUUCAACUAAAGAAAUCAUCUGAGGUUGUAUUAGUAUGAUGCCAAAAUUGUUACGGAACCUGGACUGGAUUGCCCAACGGAAGAACCAAGUGGCGCUCGCAGAUCUUGGAGGAUGGGAGGUUUAUUUAACGUUGGCGGGCUCAGAGGAGAGUGACCUCCAAAGGUCUGAGCCCCGAGCACAAACAAAGGGGGCAAUUUCUGCACUUCUACUUCUGCAUACUUGGCACUUUUGGUGUGUGCGCAAGCGGGGCAGGGGGAAGGACCCGGACUGGUGCGCAUGGGAAGCAGAGCAGGGAGAAGAACCCGGAAGAGCCCCAGGGCAAGGACUGGGACUCUCUCACUGGAUCUGUCAGCCAUCUUAGGACACAGAUUUUCCUUAUCAAAAUAACUGAUUAAGAAGUAAAAAAAGGCAAUUUGGUUAUUUUAGUUUUAUUGAAUUUAAACUUUUUACUUUCUAUUAGGCAAACUCUCAGGGAAAAGCCUGGAAAAAUUCUCAUGAGACGUAUGAAAGUCCUGAAAUGGAACAGGCAUGACAUGUAUUACUGCGAAUGAAUCCUAUACGCUAAAGAAAAGCAGGAGAGCAUCCGAGGACAUCCUGGUGUGGCAGCAGGACAGAGCCCUGCCUCAGAGCCUUCGGAAUCUAGAAGCCCUGGGAGACACAGAGGAUGACAGAACUUUGGAGGGCACCUCAGAUGCCAGCACAUUUGCUGCCCUCCCUUAUCUCACCUGAAGGGCCCAUCUGACCUCAACUCCCACAGGGUGCAAUGCUCCUCACCCUGCUGGUGACAGGCACUCCUUCUUGGCUUCCAGAUUUCCAGCAGUCCAGCCCGAGCCCAGACUCUGUGGGGACCUCUUGCUCUCUGGCCAAAGCUGUGAUUGAACAGGCUCCCUAUAGCUUGAACAACCAGGUGAAUGGUGGUGCCAUUUACUGAGGUGGGAAAGACUGAGGUAAGAACUUGUUUUGGGAUAAGUAAUUUUGUGAGUAAGAAAUGAUCCCAGAGGCUAUUAAGAUGAUAUAUGAACAUAUACUCAAUGGUGCAUAUAUAUUCAUAUACACACGCAUAUAUUUAAGUGUAUGCAACUACAUGGCAAGACAUGCAGACCCAGGGAGGGAGGGAGAGAGAAAGAGAUGGGGGGGGGCAGAAUAAUUUUGUAAAAAAUUAUCCCAACUGAUGAUGGAUGACUAAGGACUAUUCAUUACUCUUUGCCCUCAAAGACAGAGAUUUUACCUUAUUUAUCUUUCUAGUCCCCAUAACACACACCACUCUCACCUCCAUGUGAUAGAAUAUUCAUACACUUUUUUACUAAAUGGUGUUAGCAUAUUCCGUGUAGAGUGAGCUUGAGAAAUAAUCUGGAGACAAUUUUUAGAGCUCCUCAGUAUUCCACAGAUUCAGUUAUACCCAGGUCAACUCAUGCCUUGCAUUUGCCGAAUGUUUUCAAUACCUUUCUUUGCUUUUUCAGUAUUGUAAUAGAACAGGGAAGAACUUAAAAUGUGAGUAUGUUCUUUGUCUCUAAGGCUGAUAACUGAUAGAAUUUGAACAAACAGAUAUGUUUUGUUACUUAUUAACAUUUAAUACUAAUAACAUGUAUAAUUUAUAAAACAUUUUCAUAGUCAUUACAGAUUUGAUAAAGAUAAACUCUUGAGGUAUCAUCGUUAUGCCCAAAUGACAGAGGGGGAGACAUGCUCAGAGAACGUAAGCACACAGGUGGCGUGCAGCAGAGCUAAGAUUCAUGCACAUGUCUUCCACCUCUGGAAUCUAUACAAUAAUAAAAGGAUUGAUAGAAGCAGCAGCUCUGGGGAUGUAUAUGAAUUGAAGUUAUUCCUGAUUCCUAUUACCAGGACUAAUUUGAAAUAACUCCACAUAUUUCAAAAUUUCUAAUUAAAAAAUUUUGGUAAUGUCCUUUUAAAAUGCGCCAUCUGUGAUUCUCCAGCAACUUGUCAUGGUGGAUCUGUGGUUUAUUUUCAAUAUGUAAGUUAUUAAUUCAUAAUCAAAGUGAACUACAAUGCUAGUCAAAGAAACUCAUCAACAGGUAAAUCUUCCAUUAAAGAAAGGAUUUUUAAAAGUGUUCUUUUGGCUAGUUCAUUAUAAGAUUUUUUAAAUUAAAAUUAUUCCCAUUAUAGCAAGCUGAUCCUUAUUAUAUCAGGUUGAGAAAUUAUUUUGACUAGCAUAUUGUCUUUAGUCAUAAACUCAUGUCAUUAGGCAUACAGAAAAUCACAUUAAAGAGACCUUCUUCCCCUUCAGGGAUUGACACACAUGAUAUAAAACUAGAAUACAGUGAUUGGAUCUAAUUUUCUUCCAUUGUUAUUUAAAAAUAUAACCUAGGGCGCCUGGGUGGCUCAGUCCGUUAAGUGACUGACUCUUGACUUUGGCUCAGGUCAUGAUCUCAGGUUGUGAGAUCAAAGCACCCCAACCCCAGCGAGAAGUCUGCUUGAGAUUCUUUGCUGCUCCCUCUCCCUCUGCUCCUCCCUCCGCAUGUGCAUGCACUUUCUCCCUCUCUCAAAAAAAAAAAAAAAAAAUAUAUAUAUAUAUAUAUAUAUAUAACAUAUAAACACCUGGCUUCUAGCCAACAAGAACUAACCUGAGACAUCAUUAUGGGAUGUUAUUAACAUUAAGCAAAUGAAGAUUCAAUCCUGAUUCUCAGAAUGUGUUUUCACAAAGCAAGGAAUUAUAUUUGAUGUGAAAGUACCAUGCUGUAUUUUUCCAACUGAACAGAAAUAUGCCCUGCAUUUUAGAUAACAAAAAAUAACCCCACAGACUGUCACUCAAAUUAAGAAUGUAUACAUCAUUUGUCAUUACAAAGAAGCGUUCAAAAUAAUUUCUCAUUCUCACUGUUACUUCUUUUGACCUACAGGUUAUUUAAAAUACAUGAAUUUUUUUCUAGUUACCUUUUAUUUUUUACUACUAGCUUAAUUUUUUUUUGGUCAAAUAUGUAGUCUGUGAUUUCAACAAUUUGACAUUUGUUUGAGGAUUGAUUUUGAGGCUCUAUUAUUAAUAAAAUUGUAGAAAUAGUAUAACUUUUUCAUGAAAUAAACAAUUAUCAUUGUGAAGAACCCUCUUUAUCUCCUUUCUUUUUUCUGGCCCACCUUCUUCUCCUUUCACAGACUACACAUUCAUUGCUUACGACCAAGCAAAAGAAGGUGCCUCUUUACUUACAAAAAAAUUAAUACAAUUACUCUGAAAGAAAAUGUAAUGGUUAACAAGAACCAAGUCAAUCUCAUGAAAAGAUCCAGCUAUAUCUCAAGUGAGGUCUGCUGUGAGAUUAUGAGUCUGUCAGCGUAUGGUGUGGAAGCUGUCACUCCUCUCCCCUCCCCCCUCCUCCCGGCCUCCUGUAGGAGAGUGAGGAGGGGUCUGAACACAGAGUUUCAGGAAGGCUGUGUGAUCUGCGCCGCCCUCCCCCGCAACACAUCCUGGCCUUCCUGGCUCAAAGCCAUCUAAGACAUGGGAACUCCAGGAGUCAUACCCUUGGAUCUGUCCUAGGUAAUUACAGCUGUCUAUAAAAAUACUUCAUCUGGAAGGUAUCUGGCAUUCUCAAAGGAAAAUUUAGUUUUAGUCAGCCUUUCUAAAAAGUAACCAGUCACAGGAGAGGCUCCUUCUAGUCAAAUUAGUUAAUUUGGAAGAAAUAUCACUUCACUACUAUAGUAGUUCAACUGUAAGGAAUAUGAUGGUUGUUUUGGUUGAAUUUCACUCAAUAUGAUUCAACUUAAGCUUUGAAAAAAAGCUUAGGUCAACAAUUAGUCAGCACCUUAGUUUCUGCCAAGUGUGGACUGAACUUUCCAAAGCCAAGUUGGGGUUGGAAAGAGCCAAUGGGAAAAAGGGAGCAAGGGGUCAUUCUGAGUUCAGCCCAGGAUUUGGGGCAUGCUUUCCAAACUCUGCCAUUCCAUGCUGCCCACGGAUUAAGCAGGGCAAAAUGAUUAACAAAAGUGUACGUAUGUGUGUGUACUGGAGACACGGUCAACCAUUUCAAAAAUGCCCUGACCGACAAGAAUGCAUUUCUCAGCCAUGGAUCAAGAGGAAAAUGAUCACACCUCGUAGCAGAUUUUGGACAUGCACUGCUUGCAUGAAAGUCUCAGAAAAUUAACUAUGAGCUGACUUUGACUCUGUCCCUUCCUAGUUACCUACAAACCCUUAAAGAAAAAGACAAUGGCUUAUUUGUUUUGAUUCCCUCACACACACACAAUGCCCAGCACAUAGUAAAUGCUUAAUGAAUAGUUGUCAAAUGAUGAGAUAAUAUCAAGAGACUAAUGCAGGGGGAGCCACUUCAUAAUCUGGCUAUGCUAUGAGGCUCCCCAGGGUAGAAGGAUGUACAGAUCCAAGUUCACUGGAAGAAAAAGCCUUCGAACUUACAGCCAAUCACUUCUGUGCUGAGAAACCAGAAUGCAAACCACAGAGAGCCACAUAUUAGUUUAUCAGACAAGACAGCUAUCACGUAGCAUUGGAUCCAAAGGAAUGCCGUUAUUUAGGAGAGAGUGGAGAGCAGAGAUCUGCCGAGGGAAAGUGCCUGGAGCCUAAGGGCAGAUAAAAGAGAAGAAGGCACUUUAAAGGAAAAAGGGACUAGAAUGCUUUAGAGGUCAGAAGAGAUGGUUCUACCCCAGUGGAUAUUCAGACUUUUGGGCCUGCUAGACUAUGAGAACAGGUAGGCUUUGAAGAUUUACAAUAGUUCAGAAAGCAGUAAGCAAAUGGUCUUGUUUUUAUUAUUCAAACAUUUAAUACAAAGCAGGCAGAUCUUCAGUACUUUACUGGCAUUAAGCAAGAGGAACUGUAUGGAAAAAAAAAAAAAUGAAACCCAGACAACACAUCAAGUUUACUUUCACCAUGAUAAUACUUCACCCUUUUCCCCACUAGAUUUUGACAAGGAAGCUCUUCCUGAGUGUUCCUGCCCUACUUUUUUUUACCACCUUUGCUUCUAUGAUCAGGGAAAUGGAUGAGAGGGUUUUAAGUGGAAAACCAAGGGUCUAGGAGCCUCAUACCUAGAUAAUAAACUUUUGGGGAAAAACUCAGAAUCACACAUGAUUGGGGAAAGAUGGGAUUCUCUAUCCCCUUCUGCAUUUGUUCUUCCUAUCCUCCAGUUGGUGAGGGUUUGUAAGACCAUUCUGUAGUUAUGUGAUGAGGACUGGUCAUGACCAGGUGGAUGAACCCCACCUGAGCACAGUGAGGACUCAACUUGGCCUUUGCACAUCUCGGCCAUGAAUGGCAGUCCUGGGCCUCACACGGACCUAUGUGGUCUUUCUGGGCUCUACCACAAGGCCCUUUGCAAUUCUGUGCUUGAUCUCCUUUGUCUAAAAUGGCACAGUCAGGGGCGCCUGGGUAGCUCAGUCAGUUAAGUGGCUGCCUUCGGCUCAGGUCAUGAUCUCAGGGUCCUGGGAUGGAGCUCCCGCAUCGGGCUCCCUGCUCAGUGGGGAAUCUGCUUCUCCCUCUGCCCCUCUCCCCCACUUAUGCUCUUGCACACACACUCUCUCUCAAAUAAAUAAAUAAAAUCUUUAAAGAAAAUAAAAUGGCAUAGUCAUUGCUUUCCAGGGUCUUGGCUCUCCCCUGACCCCCAGGGCCCCAUAUCUUUUCUUGUACUUCCUCCGCUACUCCCAGGAAAAUCCUAUUCUGGGCUGGGAAAAGCCCCUCUAUCUUGCUUACUUCAUCCAAGAUACCGCCUGUAAAUUCUCUUUUCUAUUUUCUUUCUUCCACACAUCUAAAUUUUCCCAUGGGUUUAGGUUUUGUGAAAUAGAACCUGGAGAUUGUUGCUUUGGGCUCUGCUACAGACCUCUUCAAAAGCAAUGAAACAGAGCCAGCUACUUGUUUGAAAGAUAGACAGGAUAUCUUUGAAAGAUAGAAAGAUAGACAGAGAGAGAAGAAAAAAAAAAAAAACUCCAUAAAUUAAAGGCUUAAAAUAUAUAUUUUUUCAAGUACAUAUGUAUUUGUAAG